CAGUAGCCACGGGAAUACGAAGGGGGCCAGCGUUGCUCGGAAUUACUGGGCGUAAAGGGAGCGUAGGCGGACAUUUAAGUCAGGGGUGAAAUCCCAGAGCUCAACUCUGGAACUGCCUUUGAUACUGGGUGUCUUGAGUGUGAUAGAGGUAUGUGGAACUCCGAGUGUGGAGGCGAAAUUCGUAGAUAUUCGGAAGAACACCAGUGGCGAAGGCGACAUACUGGAUCAUUACUGACGCUAAGGCUCGAAAGCGUGGGGAGCAAACAGGAUUAGAUACCCCCGUAGUCCCUGUCUCUUAUAC
rnacentral:rRNA from 1 species